UCCCUGGUGGUCCAGUGGUUAAGACUCUGCGCUUCUGAAGCAGGGGGCAUAGGUUCAAUCCCUGACCAGGGAA